rnacentral:rRNA from 1 species
AGUGGGGGAUAACGUAGCGAAAGUUACGCUAAUACCGCAUAUGCCCUGAGGGGGAAAGGUGGGGAUCGCAAGACCUAUCGCUUUCGGAGUGGCCGAUAUCAGAUUAGCUAGUUGGUGGGGUAAAGGCUCACCAAGGCGACGAUCUGUAGCKGGUCUGAGAGGAYGAYCMGCCACACUGGGACUGAGACACGGCCCAGACUCCUACGGGAGGCAGCAGUGGGGAAUUUUGGACAAUGGGGGCAACCCUGAUCCAGCCAUGCCGCGUGAGUGAAGAAGGCCUUCGGGUUGUAAAGCUCUUUCAGCCGGAAAGAAAUCGUGCAGGCUAAUAUCCUGCAUGGAUGACGGUACCGGAAGAAGAAGCACCGGCUAACUACGUGCCAGCAGCCGCGGUAAUACGUAGGGUGCGAGCGUUAAUCGGAAUUACUGGGCGUAAAGCGUGCGCAGGCGGUUUUGUAAGACAGGUGUGAAAUCCCCGGGCUUAACCUGGGAACUGCAUUUGUGACUGCAAGGCUAGAGUAUGGCAGAGGGGGGUAGAAUUCCA